GAGCAAGCAAGUACCUUGAGGUUGGUGUGUUCUACCUGGAUGAGGAUUGUUCUCGACUGGUUUCAUCUUACCCGGGUUUGUCUGAUAUGUUCUGGCCACCCCCUUCAUGGUUUUGGCCGAACUCAGGCUCUUUUACAUGGGUUUCUGAAGAAGAUGAGCAACAAAAGGACUACUCUAACCAAAAAGAUGAUCAAUCUCAAUAGGGAAUCCUUUUUUUCUUAAUAUAUUUUUCUUGUUUCUGGGAUGAAAUUUGUCUUCUCUGUUACUGAAGUGUCAAAUUUUGUUCUAGAGAAUUGUGAUGAUUCAAAACUAGACAGAGACUGGUCGGAGCUCCCCAAGGAAUUGCUAAAAGUGAUUGCUGAUCGCCUAGCAUCCCGUUUGGAUUACUGCAGAUUUCGUUCAGUUUGCAAGAAAUGGCAUUCUUCUUGCCUUCUCUCUGUCCCUCUCUUAUAUUCUCAAUUGCCUCAUCAAGUCCGAACUGGUUCCUUCAGGUUCGAAAACUCUGAUCGCUCUACCUUUCUUGUGGCUAGAAUAACCUAUCUUCUGCGACCCCUUAACCAAACAAUCUCCAAGUCCUCAAAACCCUGGUUGAUCUCAGUUGAAGACUUGAACACUGGCAAGCUCCAAAUCUGUCAUCCCCUCAGUAAAUUCCCUUUCAGGAAUCUGCCAGUAACUUUCCCAAAAUCCUUGAAUAUCUCUGAUUUUCAGGUGUCAAAACUCAGUCACGGGUUUAAAAUUUGUUUCUCUGAUGGUAAUGAAGAUGUUUUUAAUGAUCACGAGUUCUCAACGGCUUGGUCAGAUUAUCCUGCUCCAAACAAAGUGAUAUUGCUCUCUGAAACUGCAACCUCCAUUUAUGAUUGUGUACCAGUCGUUUUGUUCGUUAGUCAAGGAGGUUCUUUGGUUUCUUUAAUUUUAAAGACUAGCCAACAGGGUCAUAUCAACUCAAAGAAGAACUAUCAGUUUGAUGAUAUAAUAAAAUUCAAGGGAUAUAUUUGUGCGUUAGACUCUGAAGGAAUAGCCUACCUCAUUGACAUUAAUGAUGGUUAUAAUAUGAGGAUUAUCGAUACUAUCUCAGAGCGAUUUGGUUACCUAUAUGCAGAGAAACGGCGUAAGCUGCUGGUUGAAUCAUUUGGAGUACUGUACAUGGUUGUUAGAAAUCAUUUGGAAUUUCGGGUUUACCAGUUGAAUGAAAGGCGGUGGAACAAGGUGAAUCAUUUAGGAGAUAGGAUUUUAUUCAUCAGUUUUGACAGCUGCUUCUUUGCUGAAGCAAAAGAUUUUCCAGGGUGCAGAGGGAAUUGUAUUGUGUUCCCUAAGAAUUGUUUUCCUCUGUAUUCUGGAGGAUAUGAUCCUGACUAUGAACUUUUUGAAGGACAAAGACGUCACUUUACGAUUGGUGUGUUUUACUUGGACGAGAAUCGUUGUAAGAUACCCAAGCCUCUCAGAGUUGUUCUGGCCCCCUCCUUCUUGGCUCUGCCCUGAUUCAUACCCCUACCCCUGUGAAGAGGAAGAUGAGCUUAUUGAUUCCUCUAGCCAAACUGAAACCAGUUCGGAAGAUGAGGAAAUAGCAGCAGACGAGUUCAUUUGUGAGAGCGAUGAAGAUUGUAUUGACUUAUUUCCUGCCACUAGAGCUCCUCUUGAGAUUUCAGAAAACUCUUCGAUGAAGAAAUUCCAAGGAGAAGAUAUGGAAGAUGCAUGAUUUUUUUGAAGAUCAUGCAGUCCGAAGUAAUGGCCUUCUUACAUGGGCAUUAGAAUCGUUGGCAAAGAUGAUGAUUAUACUUCAAAACAACAUGGGCAAAGGAAAGGGGAAGUCUCCAU